UAUUUCAUCUCUCACCAAAACACCACCGCAAGCGAAAAUCCUCUUUCUCCUCACCACUUACCAUCAUCACUCAACUCUUUCUCUGAAGUCAAGUGAGCUGAUGACUCUAAACUUGAUAAUUAAACAACCCUGAUCUAUCGAUCUUUCACUUUUGAUUUUUCAGAGAUGAAAACCCUAGCCGUUUCUCCACUUUACAUAUUUUUUGCAAGAUGAUUUUCUUUCUGUAAUUUGAACUGAUUUCAAUUCGAAUCUGUUUUUCGCUGAGGUAAGGUUUACGGAUGUUUAGCUCGUGAUGGAAAGGUUAGAGGGAAAACUCUAGCUAAACUAGACAAGAAAACCAGUCUAGAGGUAGAGCUCACAUGAGGAAUCUAAUAACUGCCGGUAAGAAGCGCCUAGAGCAAAGGAAGAAUGCAUGCAACCAAACACAGAGUAAUGGUGAAGGAGAAAAGAAAGAUUCUCGACUCAAUGCUACAACAUCCUCCAAACGCAAAAUGUUAUUGGAGUAUUGGAUUGUUAUAGACUUGCUCAGAAACUUGUUCGAAGACCCCUUUUUGAGGCGGGUGGUGUUCCCUGUAAAAUGGCGGAAAGCAUGUGGCUCCAUACUCAUCUUAUCCAAGAUUUGAUCUCUAUUUCUCGAACAAGUGUUGCUAAAUAGCCGAGGCUGGUGUUGUGAAGUUGGAUGCUUCGUUGUCGUUGAUGACUUAGAGCUCGACUAAUUUUCAGUUAGACAAUGAAGUGGGUGUUGCUCUCUUUGCAACUGAUGGAAAAUCAAAGUGGAAGAAGAAACUUGGACAUUGUGGUUUUCAUUGUAGUUUUCUUAUGGCAUCCUUUUCCAGCCAACGGCGGAAAAUCUGAAUUACUACAACUCCGAAUCCAGAAAUGCUACUUAAAUGUAUGAAUUCAUUAUAAUUGAAUACUUUUUUUUUGUGAUUUUGAAUCCAAGUAUGAAUUCAGUUAUGAAGUGUUAUGAUUUCAGUCAUGAAUAGGUGUAACAAUGAACUUCUAUUUGAAUUUAUGAAUCCAGGUCUGAUUUUAGUGUAA